GAAAACUGAACCUCUACUUGAUUCUAGAAUUAAAUACGCAUUUUCUUAGAAAACUAAAUUAGUCUGCUUUCCUUUGCUUUCGUUAGUAAUUAAUUUCCCCAACGACUAACUUUAUCGUUCACGCGUACACAUAUGCGUUAAAGUGUAAUUACCAAAUGCAAAUGCAAAAAUGAAUUGAAUUUUAACAUCAAGGAAACUGUCUCUGAGUCUAAAUUCGAGCUAAUACUACAGCUUACUCCUCAAACCACGACACGUAUUACGCGAAAAUGCGCGUCUUUCGACAGAAUGUUCUAAGGCGAGAAGAGGAAAACGAGAGAAAGCGAUGUUGUCGCUCGCUUGGGGCUCGGUUUCGCGAAUCCGUUGAUGUUAGCUCGUUAAGUGUUAGUUGCAUUACCCAGGUAUUAUCUUAUCACUGUUUACGGAUGCGUCGCAGACCUACCAUGUUCUCGUGUUUAGCGAGAAAUGUCGAGACCUGGUCGCGUCUGAGAUUCAGCUUGCUAUAAUGAAUUGUUAGAUCGUCAAAAUGUUCGUCUCUUAGUUCACUAGCUCCUCUUACAAAGAAAUCAUUGAUGAUACAAACAUGUGCAUAUUGAUUCAUCUUCUAUGUGAACAAUGUCUAACAAUUUCAAAUAUCUCAAAUAAUUCAAAUGUUAAAAUAACUCGUGUCUUUGUUUCAUGGGGCAAAUCAUUACGGAAAAAUAGAACACAAAACUUUCUCGGUACAUCUAAUUUAACAAAAAGAGAAAAAAAAGAGAAGAAAAAGAAAGCUUCAGUCUGAUCAAAGUCGACUCGAAUUCCCGCGAAAAGUAUAGCCUGGAUGAUACACGGAGGAACCUUCAUACGCUAUUAGAAGCCUAAGCCUCGCUGUGCACAAAAACACGUUGCAGGUCUAUCGACAAAUUGUCAGUAUACUCACCUCGUAGUAUAUAAUUUUGAUAAUUCUGGUCGGCCUCGCUGCCAACCUUGAUGAGGCAAGCAAGCCCAUCAUUUUGUACAAACUCGUGCACCAGGUCCUUGUCCUCCUGCAAAACCAAAGUUUAUGGUAAAUAGCAUUCGACCAGCCGAAUAGAUGUCCGUUAUACCUCUGAUCAUCGCUUAUCUCUAAUUUAUUCAACCUGAAACGAAGCACCUAAUCGAUGGCUCGGCGUCUCUGGAUUUAUGGUCCAUCUUUUGGGAAAUGUUCGAACGUUUCACGGCUUGAUUUAUGAUACAUCGCGGAUAAGGAUAAUCCUUCAGAUAGCAUCGUAUUUAACGACCAACAUUUUCGAUACAAGUUUCAAUGACUUUAUUCGCGAAAAGUGUAAAAUGAAUCCUGUUCAAUAACAUCUUCGUUGAAAGAAAAAACUGAAAUGAGAAACGAGUUUAUUCAAAACAAUUCCAUUAGCUAGAAGAGUAAAGUUCUUCAAAUAUUACGAAAUUUGUCAUUAACAUUGGAAUUAUCGGUCAUUAUGUAUUCCUAAAUAUAUUAUGCGUAGUUAAACAGAAUUCAAACAAUAUGGUGAAAAUAUAGAAAUACAUGUAAUUAUGCUUCGAUCUUAAUAAAAGUAAGCAUUAACAUUGUCAA